rnacentral:rRNA from 1 species
AGCAGCCGCGGUAAUUCCAGCUCCAAUAGCGUAUAUUAAAGUUGUUGCAGUUAAAAAGCUCGUAGUUGAAUUUCGGGACCAUCAUGUUGGUCGUGCCUCGGUACGUACUGGCAUUGUUGGUUUCUCCCUUCUGACGAACCAUGAUGUCAUUUAUUUGGUGUCGUGGGAAAUCAGGACUGUUACUUUGAAAAAAUUAGAGUGUUUAAAGCAGGCUCACGCUUGAAUACAUUAGCAUGGAAUAAUGAAAUAGGACGUUUGAUUCUAUUUUGUUGGUUUCUAGGAUCGACGUAAUGAUUAAUAGGGAUAGUUGGGGGCAUUAGUAUUCAAUUGUCAGAGGUGAAAUUCUUGGAUUUAUUGAAGACUAACUACUGCGAAAGCAUUUGCCAAGGAUGUUUUCAUUAAUCAAGAACGAAAGUUAGGGGAUCGAAGACGAUCAGAUACCGUCGUAGUCUUAACCAUAAACUAUGCCGACUAGGGAUCGGAUGA